rnacentral:miRNA from 1 species
ACUUGCACACUGUGUUUUGAGUUGUUGUUGACAAUUUUAUAAGUUGUUAUUGACAACUAUUUGUCAUCAACAACUUAUAAAAUUGUCAACAACAACUCAAAACAUAGUGUGCAAGUUAUUAACAAU